UACGUAGGUGACAAGCGUUGUCCGGAUUUACUGGGCGUGAAGAGCGCGCAGGCGGUCGAUCAAGUCGAGUGUGAAAGCCCCCGGCUCAACUGGGGAGGGUCAUUCGAUACUGAUCGACUCGAAGGCAGGAGAGGGUAGUGGAAUUCCCGGUGUAGUGGUGAAAUGCGUAGAUAUCGGGAGGAACACCAGUGGCGAAGGCGACUACCUGGCCUGUUCUUGACGCUGAGGCGCGAAAGCUAGGGGAGCAAACGGG
rnacentral:rRNA from 1 species